UUUUUAAUUCAAAGUUCAACUUUUGGCACACCUUACAAACAUGGGCUCUAAACAAGGCGAAAGAUUGCAUCUCGGGCACAAAAAUCAAAACAGUACAAAGGUAAUAUCUUCAAUAAUUUUAUCGAUAAUAUCGAUACCGUAUAAUUUUAUCAAUAUUUAUGUAAUGACCUAAUAUUGCCCGGUCCAAUAUAAAAUAAUAAAACAACCCAAUUUAUUUUUACAAACCCAAAUUUAAAGCCCAAACUCACUACCUAAUAUAGACUCUAACCCAAAACACUAAACCUAAAACUCAAAUUAACCCCGAGCCCAAUAAAGUAAACCUAGUUAAACCUAGCCCUGUAAACAAACUAAGCCUGCAGAAACCCUAGCCUACAAGCCUCCAGCGCGCCGCUCCUUCCCCACGUGAGCCUCUGCCUCCAGAUUGGCUGCAUCCUUGCAAAGAAAUAACAGAAUAAUAGAAAAAUAAUAAGAGAAAAUAGCAAAUUUGUAAAACGGAUACUGGAUACGAAAAUAUAAAAAACAAAUCAACUAGCUUUGUUAUUUCAAGAUGAUUUUUCAGAUUCUAUCUUUUUUUUUUUGCUCUUGGUUUUAUCAUCUUUUUAUUAAAAUAUAAAACGAAAGGAAGGAGGAGAGAAGAUUUACCUCUACUAGUCCGCCGUCG
rnacentral:lncRNA from 1 species